rnacentral:rRNA from 1 species
CCUCUGACCGCUCUAGAGAUAGAGCUUCNCUUCGGAGCAGGGGACACAGGUGGUGCAUGGUUGUCGUCAGCUCGUGUCGUGAGAUGUUGGGUUAAGUCCCGCAACGAGCGNAACCCCUAAUAUUAGUUGCCAGCAGGUAAAGCUGGGCCCUCUAAUGUGACUGCCGGUGACAAACCGGAGGAAGGUGGGGAUGACGUCAAAUCAUCAUGCCCCUUAUGACCUGGGCUACACACGUACUACAAUGGCCAGUACAACGGGAAGCGAAGUCGCGAGAUGGAGCGAAUCCCAGCAAAGCUGGUCUCAGUUCGGAUUGCAGGCUGCAACUCGCCUGCAUGAAGUCGGAAUUGCUAGUAAUCGCGGAUCAGCAUGCCGCGGUGAAUACGUUCCCGGGUCUUGUACACACCGCCCGUCACACCACGAGAGUUUACAACACCCGAAGCCGGUGGGGUAACCGCAAGGAGCCAGCCGUCGAAGGUGGGGUAGAUGAUUGGGGUGAAGUCGUAACAAGGUAAGCGUAGUGCU